AUUGAAUCCAGCAGACAAUUAGUCUUUGAGGAAGAUGUACCAGAAUUUGAUUUUGAGUUACCAAAAUAUAUAAUAAUAUGUUAUUAUAUAAUAUGUUAAUGUCAUUAUGUCAUAAUGCAAAGAAAGGAUGACCAUAUUGUCAAAGCUCAACAAGGUCUUGUAGGAAAAGAUAAUGUCUUGACGAAACAAAUGCAUGGUGGUGAUUUGGUUAUUGCCUAUUCUGAUCUGAUUUGGGAUGUAACUUUCAAAACUGCUGUUUGCGUAUGCAUCUUUCUCAUUCUUUCUGAAUGUCUC